CCCGACCUUUACGCAACGCGGAGCCCGUGCAGGACCCCGGGCGAGGAGCGCCCUGUGCCACCCGUGGGUGACAGCCCCGUCCCCGCUGUGCCACCCGUGGGUGACGGCCCCUCCCGCUGAUGCGCAGUGACAUUUGCAAUCUGUUGCCAUGGGCGCUCGGGGACUUUUGCUGUGGAGGGGGAUCGCGCUUCUCCCCCCCUUCCUCCUCCUCUCCAUCCCUCCCUCCCGAUGACGUCAUGGAUGACCACGGUGGUGACAGGGCCACCUGUGGGCUGGUGAGGGGUUUAAAGAGACAGUCUGCAGCUGCAACAGGAGCCCUGGCUAUUGUCUGCGCACCUGGGAGUGGGGGGACCUGCAGCCCCCUGACCACCCAUCCAUCCACCCAUCCACCCAUCCCUCCAUCCACCCAUCCCUCCAUCCACCCAUUCAUCGAUCCCAUCCUACCGCAUCCCAUCCACCCAUCCCAUCCCGCUGCAUCCCACCUGUCCCCGCAUCCCGUACUGCUCCCGCGGUACCGGGGCUUUCCAAGCCGGUCCGUGCCCAUGCCAGUGCCGACCUCCCACCACCGCAGCGGAUCCCCCAAGAUUGUCUUACAACGAGGUGAGUUUGAAACACCAGGGGGGAAAUCCUCCUUGGUCACCACGCUGGUGGAGGACGAGUGCAUCUCCUGCUGUUCUCCCCUGCCACACAAAGGGGUUUCCAAGCACAGAAGAUGGCAUCGCCCAUCCAUGCAAACACACAUCACUCAGAGGUGUUGUUGCCCAGGGAGAGGUUUUGCCAUUCCCAUCUCCCAGCGAUAGAGCCCAUGAAUUUCAAAGGGUCUCCAUCCACUUCUGACAGCAGACGACAGGGCUAAGUUAAUUGAGGCAGCAGUAAGAAAUCUAAUUAACCUGCAGUAUGUUGUUUAAUUUGUGCAAAGUUGUUGUGGUUACUCAGCUAUAAACUCCAUUCCUGGUUCUAAUGACAGCGACUCGCGUGGCAGCAGCAGAGCAUCCUGGUGGUGGGCAGUCACCUCGUGCUCACCCUUGAAGGUGCCCUCAAUUAAGCGCGGAGCGUUCCAGUGGUUGCUUCCAUCUGCUUCUUCCAUGGCAUUUGAGACCCUUUCCUAGCUCCAGCCUUUGGAACAGCCACCUGUGCUGCUUCUACACCUGCUCUGGCAUUCAGCACCGUUGCACAGCUUCCAGAAACCAGCCCUCACGAGCUGGUGGUGUCAAUCUGUUGAUUGCACAGGAGUCCAGGAGAUGGGCUCAGGUCGCUGAGUUCCCAUCGCAGCUCUUAGGCUGUAAUUACGUUCAAGUCUCUCUGCUUCAGUUAUUUCUUCUUGCUAAUGCUUGGAGCUGCUGUACCGCUCUUUUCUUCAAGGCUGACCUCCACGUAGCUUCCCAGAAGAGAGCCAGGCCUGUUAUUUCAACCAAUUCACAAACCGUCUCCCAGAGGUUGGUUGCCCAUUAUAAGACUUUUUGAACAGCGGGAAUUCGCAGGGCUGCUGGUGCUGAGCUCUUUGUGUUGGCUGGGGGAGAAGCAGAAGGAAAAGGAUGGAUGCUGCGUGGUAGCAUCGCUCCCCGGAUUCACCUUCCCCAAAGACCCCGGACCAGCCAAGAGCUGACCGUAGUGCUGAGCCUCGGCACCUCCAUACCCUAUAGGACACCCUUCACAUUGAAGGACGGAGAAGCUUUUAGCCAGGUCCCAAAAGGCUAUCAGCUGAAUAAAGAGAUGAGGUUUGCCACGAACGGGGUUUAGAAGAAGGUGAUCCAGCUCCAGGAUCCCCCAAUGCUGGGGCUCUGCAGUUCAGUGCACCGAAGUCCUCCACAAGGAUGGUUCUCCGAGCACGCUGGGGAUACGAAACAUAAGUCAGGAUGAAAUUCCUAGCAAACAGCAUCCCCAGCAAGCAGCUGGGUGCACCAGAGUCCCGAUAUCCAGGGACACAGCAGCACCCUGAGCAGCGCAGUGCAAGCGCCAACAGAGGGAAUGCUUUUUUUAUUUGAGGAAUCCCAUUGCAUGGAUCCUCCUGGAGUUUUAGCACUGAAAACAACGCCGGUUGGUGACAUCCAGCCCACACACAGCCAAAAUCUGGUAGAGGAAACUCAGGCACUGUCGCUUCGGAGGAUGCAGCAAAACCAGGUCAGGGUGCUCCGAAGGGUGAGGAAGAGCCUUCCAGGAGGAAGAGGAGCUCAGUUUGGGUUUUCCUUCCCAUUUACUUAUUUAUUUAUUUCUAAAGUAUUAAAAAGUGGCAGUGCUAGCGAAGGGUAAUUAUCCCUCUGUUCCAGCUGAAAUACAAUUAAGGCAGCUCUCAACGAGCCCCCGGGAUAUUGUGGUUUACUAAUUAACAAGCGGAUAUGCUGUGGCCCCUGUCAUGGCAAUUACAGCAUGAGACAGGCUUCAGGAGCUCUAAUUACACGUCAGCCCGCAACACACGCUGCAAUACAAAUUAACGAGGGCCGGGGCUGGUGAUGGAGGGAGUUCACCCAGCGAGGGGCUGGGAAGGGGCUGGGGACAGGGAUGGGGACAGGGAUCUUGGUAUGGUCUCCCAACCUGGGGGAGCAAAUUGGGAUGACGCUGCUGCAUGGCGGUGGCACACAGCGAUGCGGGAGCCUUGAGAGCGCUUUGCUUUGCUCCUGCAGCCUGAUGAGAUGAGUGGCAUUUUGGAUGGCUGCAAUGAAUAGCAAGUAUCGCAUUUUCCAUCGUCAAUUCCCAGACCAAUAAAGCUGCUGUUAAGGAAAAGUCAUAUGGGAAACACCCAACAGGGCUUUGGCUGCUGACAAAUAACUCGCAUGGCUCCCUGAGCCAAGAGGAAUUUUUCUGACAAAUUGUUUAUCAGGAAAAGUGGUUGAAUUCAAUGGGUAUCUUUGGCCAGCUAUGAAAAAGUAAUAAUAAUAAUAAUCAGGGUUUUUGUUAACCCAAUUUGAUACGUUCCAUUUUAAAGAGAAGUUCCCAUUCAGAACAUAUUAAGACGAUCCAAUUAAGC
ensembl:lncRNA